rnacentral:tRNA from 1 species
GGGGAUGUUGCUCAAAUGGUAGAUCGUUUGCUUUGCAUGCAAGAGGUACGGCGUUCGAUACCUUGCAUCUUCA